rnacentral:lncRNA from 1 species
AGAUCCUGAGCGCCUACCCCGGGUGGCAACGCCUCUCAGAGAGCGUCCCGGCCCGCCUCCUCCUAAAGCUCGGGCCCUCUGGGACUGCUAGGAGGGGAAAAUCGUUUCAGGAUUGGAAAGGAAGGUACCAAAAUGAUUGGAGAGGGCCUUUCCCCGUUUCACUAGGCACUUGGAGAAGCUGUGACAGAGAGCUGGACACCCAGCGCGUGCGGACCCCGUGCGUAUUUCCCCGGAGUCCGCGUUCCGUGAAAGGGAGAGGGGUGCGGUUAGCUCCAGGGAUUCUCUAGCCCUGGAGCCACCGCUGAUUUGCGCAGCUAGUUGCCUGGGGGUGAUAAACGGGCGUCGUCUCUCUUCAGGAGCGCCAACACUACCAAGCUUCCCCCUGCAAAAUUCAGAAAGGAUGCGCUUUGGUGAGAACUUGGCUCAGCCUUCCCGUGGCUUGGGAGAUGAGGUUGGAGUGAGAAUGUCACCAGACCUCGGAAGGGGACAUAACGGUACCUCCUAGUCCCAGGACACGGGUACGUGGGCGGAGGUGGGGUGUGGGAGGUUGGUGGGAAGAGCGCAGGUUACUGGACUCAAACAGUUCCUGUUUUUUUUUUGUUUGUUUUUGUUUUCGUGGGGUUUUUCCCCCCCUCUGCUUGGUGCGUUCUGCGCAGCCCCAGAGGGAGUCUAUAAUGGGUACUGUUGGCACUCUGAGGUCUUGGGGUUGGGGGGCAAGGGUGAUUAAAAAUAAAAAUGAUUACCAAGAUGGGCUCCGGAAAGCUUUUCACAUCCAGCGGGUGGUGGAGGAGGGGAUGGAGUUGCCGAGGCCGUCUCGGGAGCCUCGUUUGUGCGCUAAGCCACUUAGAGGCGCUGACUUGCCCCUUUAGUGCAGCAGCUGAUGCUAAUGACUUGAGGUCUUUAACAGCCUGCAAGUUGACUCCUUCAACGGGGCUGCAACACCACGUCGCUGGGGAAUCUCGGGCUUCUUUUUCACAGUUCAAUUCUCUACUCCUAAAGGAAGAAAGGCCUUUGAGUGGUAUAGACAGUUUCUCAACUCCUUCAGCCCCACACACACCACCACUACUUUGAAGUGGGCAAUCUGUCAGCAUUAGGAUAAAUCGGAUUGUGUAGCUAGCUAAAGUGGAGGAGGCAGAACCACAACGUAAGGAGACAGCCUCGUUGUUGUUUUUCCUAGUGUUGAAAUAAUGUAUUUGGGGAGUUGGCAAAGAGCAGCUUACCAUGUUAGUUUGAUCCUCUCCCAGCUUUGAGACCCUUCUCUGGAACUCAGUGGGGUAUUGAGGCUUUGACAGCCUGGUGACUGCAGUCCCAGGAGGCCAGGGGAGGAUUUUGCUGAGGAGAAACAAGUGCAAGGACUUUCCCAUGAAGUUCAUGUUCUUCCUUGUUCUCUCUCUCUCUCUCUCUCUCUCUCUCUCUGUGUGUGUGUGUGUGUGUGUGUGUGUAUUUCCUUCUCUUUUCUGGUUAGUACCCCAGGCAAAUUCCGAAUUGCUGCCUAGAAUU